GAGUUUGAUCCUGGCUCAGAUUGAACGCUGGCGGAAUGCUUUACACAUGCAAGUCGAACGGCAGCACGGGAGCUUGCUCCUGGUGGCGAGUGGCGAACGGGUGAGUAAUGCGUCGGAACGUACCGAGUAAUGGGGGAUAACGCAGCGAAAGCUGUGCUAAUACCGCAUACGCCCUGAGGGGGAAAGUGGGGGAUCGCAAGACCUCACGUUAUUCGAGCGGCCGACGUCUGAUUAGCUAGUUGGUGGGGUAAUGGCCUACCAAGGCGACGAUCAGUAGCGGGUCUGAGAGGAUGAUCCGCCACACUGGAACUGAGACACGGUCCAGACUCCUACGGGAGGCAGCAGUGGGGAAUUUUGGACAAUGGGGGCAACCCUGAUCCAGCCAUUCCGCGUGAGUGAAGAAGGCCUUCGGGUUGUAAAGCUCUUUCAGCUGGAACGAAACGGUACGCUCUAACAUAGCGUGCUAAUGACGGUACCGGCAGAAGAAGCACCGGCUAACUACGUGCCAGCAGCCGCGGUAAUACGUAGGGUGCGAGCGUUAAUCGGAAUUACUGGGCGUAAAGCGUGCGCAGGCGGAUUGUUAAGCAAGAUGUGAAAUCCCCGGGCUUAACCUGGGAAUGGCAUUUUGAACUGGCAGUCUAGAGUGCGUCAGAGGGGGGUGGAAUUCCACGUGUAGCAGUGAAAUGCGUAGAGAUGUGGAGGAACACCAAUGGCGAAGGCAGCCCCCUGGGAUGACACUGACGCUCAUGUACGAAAGCGUGGGUAGCAAACAGGAUUAGAUACCCUGGUAGUCG
rnacentral:rRNA from 1 species